UAGCAUAUCAAUAAGCGGAGGAAAAGAAACUAACGAGGAUUCCCCUAGUAACUGCGAGUGAAGCGGGAAAAGCUCAAAUUUGAAAUCUGGCGGUCUUUGGCUGUCCGAGUUGUAAUCUAGAGAAGUGUUACCCGCGUUGGACCGUGUAUAAGUCUCCUGGAAUGGAGCGUCAUAGAGGGUGAGAAUCCCGUCUUUGACACGGACUACCAAGGCUUUGUGGUAUGCUCUCAAAGAGUCGAGUUGUUUGGGAAUGCAGCUCAAAAUGGGUGGUAAAUGCCAUCUAAAGCUAAAUAUUGGCGAGAGACCGAUAGCGAACAAGUACCGUGAGGGAAAGAUGAAAAGAACUUUGGAAAGAGAGUUAAACAGUACGUGAAAUUGCUGAAAGGGAAACGCUUAAAGUCAGUCGCGUUGGCUUGAAAUCAACCUUGCUUUUGCUGGGUGUACUUUCUAGUUGACGGGUCAACAUCAGUUUUGACCAGUGGAUAAAGUCAAUGGGAAUGUGGCUCCUUCGGGAGUGUUAUAGCCCAUAGUCGCAUACAUUGGUUGGGACUGAGGCUCUCAGCACGCCUUUAUGGCCUGGUUUCGACCAAGUUCGUGCUUAGGAUGUUGGCAUAAUGGCUUUAAUCGACCCGUCUUGAAACACGGACCAAGGAGUCUAACAUGCUUGCGAGUAUUUGGGUGGAAAACCCUUGUGCGUAAUGAAAGUGAAAGUUGAGAUCCCUGUCGUGGGGAGCAUCGACGCCUGGACCAGAGCUUUUGUGACGGAUCCACGGUAGAGCACGUAUGUUGGGACCCGAAAGAUGGUGAACUAUGCCUGAAUAGGGUGAAGCCAGAGGAAACUCUGGUGGAGGCUCGUAGCGAUUCUGACGUGCAAAUCGAUCGUCAAAUUUGGGUAUAGGGGCGAAAGACUAAUCGA
rnacentral:rRNA from 1 species